rnacentral:rRNA from 1 species
GGACGAACGCUGGCGGCGUGCUUAACACAUGCAAGUCGUACGGUAAGGCCCUUUCGGGGGUACACGAGUGGCGAACGGGUGAGUAACACGUGAGUAACCUGCCCGCAACUUUGGGAUAACGCUAGGAAACUGGUGCUAAUACUGGAUAUGUGCUCCUGCUGCAUGGUGGGGGUUGGAAAGCUCCGGCGGUUGUGGAUGGACUCGCGGCCUAUCAGCUUGUUGGUGGGGUAGUGGCCUACCAAGGCGGCGACGGGGAGCCGGCCUGAGAGGGUGACCGGCCACAGUGGGACUGAGAUACGGCCCAGACUCCUACGGGAGGCAGCAGUGGGGAAUGUUGCACAAUGGGCGCAAGCCUGAUGCAGCAACGCCGCGUGCGGGAUGACGGCCUUCGGGUUGUAAACCGCUUUCAGCAGGGACGAAGCUUUUUGUGACGGUACCUGCAGAAGAAGCACCGGCUAACUACGUG